rnacentral:pre_miRNA from 1 species
AUUUGGUGAUUCAGCUUAUGACGUUACAAUAUACGUUAUAAAGCUGUUUCACUAAAUGU